rnacentral:ribozyme from 1 species
UGCCCAGCAACUCCUAUCCCUACCUCCACGCGGUACCGGCCGGAAACUAUGAGCAACCUUAGGGAAGAUCGGGUAACCAACCCCGAUGGGGACUUUGGUCGUAGGCUGACAGGGAAGG